CCUCUGUGAGAAGUUGUGUGACAGACAGCACUGACCAAGGAGCAGGGUGGAGAAGAAAGUCCCCAAGUGAUCCAGCUUUUAGCCUCUCAGAAAAGAACUUUAGAUCACAUCCCUCACCUGGGAAAUGAGACACUCUGGACACCCUGAGGGCUUCCCUCCAACCCUGACUACAAAGUGAAGCAUCCAGCUUUUACCCUACGGAGCAGGCCCACACCCUCUGAGUGAGCUGCCCCAGGGAAGCGGUGUGCAGCCGCAUGGAGAGAGGUUUCUCUGGGGAUCUUCUCAGCCUGUGUUCCUACCAUAUACAGGCACUAAGCUUCAUUGUAUGGGAAUGGGCUGACUUCUGCAUACCUUAGAGCCAAGUUUUGGAGAGUAGUCAUAGGAGCAAGCUGUAGGCUGACAAGCUGGCCAUCUGUGGACCCCUAAACAAUAUAAUGCAACAGAGAAACUUUCUCCCCCAAACACUGCGGCCACCCGACAUCUGCACACCGAGGCGCUAACACAUAGCGUUAACUCAUAGAGGCACAACGACACAGUGAUGCUCCACAUCUGACAUUGAUGACACGGAACAACAGCAGUUCUUGGAAUGUACUCUCCCUACAAGAAAGGUUCCUCAGCUGCCAGUGCCACCUCUGACUCAUUGUGGGAUUUCCAGCAGUCUAGGAACAAGAGGAAAAUUCACCCCUCCCUAAAAAGCUGACCCUCGGAGGAGUCACCGAUCCUGUUUCCAGCUCUGUCUCAGCGGGG
rnacentral:lncRNA from 1 species